rnacentral:tRNA from 1 species
GACGAGGUGGCCGAGAGGUCAAGGCGAUAGAAUGUUAAUCCAUUGGGUUCUGCCCGCGUGGGUUUGAAUCCCAUCCUCGUCG